rnacentral:lncRNA from 1 species
UGUGUGCUGCUAGAUAGCAGAAUUUAUGAUGCUCCACCUGUAUGGGAUAUUCAAUACAAGGCACAUUAAAAGGAUUUAGAGCAGAAGAAGGAAUCACUUCACUUGAAAUACCAUGACUGAGGUGUGUCAUUCACUAAUAUUGGCCAUUUUGAGCAGUCAGAGGCUUGCUGAGGUUUGCUUCUGCAAUCCAUUCAGUAAUCACAACAGAAGUACUAGUGAACCACAAUUCACAUUGGCAUUUUCAAGGUAAUAUGGCAGCUGAGGAGCCACAGUGAUUGAAAGGUGUGGAACAGGUGGGUAACACCAUUUUCCUGUACAAACCUGGAAAAAUUACACCUAGAAUCCUGCCUUUGUUGCCUUUUUAUCAGAAGGGAGCAGACAGUGUGGAG